rnacentral:lncRNA from 1 species
UUGAAUGCAACAAAAUACAACUAACUUCUGCUGAAUAAAAUAGUUGAAUGCAAUUGAAUACGAAAUACUAGAAUACAACUAACUACUGCUGAAUAAAAUAGUUAAAUAUAUCUGAUUAAAGCUAAAUACAAGAGAAUAAAAAUUCCUUAGGAAAAAGAAGACUCCCUCUGCAUCAAUUGGGUGUUAUCUCGCCGCUCCGUCAACGCAUUUUGCUUCUUCCAAGCAGAGAGCCACCAUGGUUGCCGCCAAGAAAAUCGUAAGAUUCUUUCUCUUUUUAUUUCUUAUUUUUUUAAUGGAAUCAAGAAAAUGCAGCCUUUUUUUUCUUCCUCUUUUUUAGGUUGUUCAUCGGUCUGAAGGGAUCUUUUUGUGAAAGCAGAAAUUGGGUGGGAGAAGAGUUAAGAAAUGAGGGUUUAUGGGAGAGGAGACUUUAGUUGUAUGCAAAAAGAGAGAGAUUGUAUUGAGAUUUGCAGACACACGGUAAUUAGGCGAUAGAAAAUACAAAAAAAGAGAGAGAAAAAUAUUUUUUAGCAUAUAUGGUGUCAAUUAAGGAUGUAAUCAUAUUUAGAUUUUUUGCUAUAAAGGAUAAAAGUUAUUUAUAGGAUAUAAUAUUUU